GCCAAACUGAGGAGCCCAGAGCUGCCGCCGGGGAAUCGGGGUCGGGGGCACCCGGGGGAGCCGCUGCCCUGGCCGCCUGCCCUCCGUACAGGCCGCCUCCCUUCCCGGCCCGGGGAGGAAACGAGACGGGGGACGUGAACAGCUGUGGAAGUCGGAGUAUCGGGAGCCAGAGCAGGCCCCGCCCAGGCCCCCCAGCCCAGCCCAGCCCGCGUGCCCGCCCGUCCUUCCACCCAGCCAGCCCGGGCCCGCGGGAUUGUUAGAUGGAACACAGCUCCAUCAUCACCCAGGCGCGGAGGGAAGACGGCCUGGUGCUCACCAAGCAAGGCCUGGUCUCCAAAUCCUCUCCUAAGAAGCCUCGUGGACAUAACAUCUUCAAGGCCCUUUUCUGCUGUUUUCGCGCCCAGCAUAUUGGCCAGUCAGGUUGCUCCACUGAGCUCGCUGCGUAUAAGGAGGAAGCGAACACCAUUGCUAAGUCGGAUCUGCUCCAGUGUCUCCAGAACCAGUUCUACCAGAUCCCGGGGACCGGCCUGCUCCCAGAGGUGACAGAGGAAGAUCAAGGAAGGAUCUGUGUGGUCAUUGACCUGGACGAAACCCUCGUGCACAGCUCCUUUAAGCCAAUCAACAAUGCUGACUUUAUAGUGCCUAUAGAGAUUAAAGGGACCACUCACCAGCUGUAUGUGCUCAAGAGGCCUUAUGUGGAUGAGUUCCUGAGACACAUGGGGGAACUCUUUGAAUGUGUUUUCUUCACUGCCAGCCUGGCCAAGUAUGCCUACCCUGUGACGGACCUGCUGGACCGGUGUGGGGUGUUCCGGGCCCACCUAUUCCAUGAGUCCUGUAUGUUUCACCAGGGCUGCUACAUCAAGGACCUCAGCCGCCUGGUGAGGGACCUGAGGAAGACUCUCAUCCUGGACAACUCGCCUGCUUCUUACAUCUUCCACCCUGAGAAUGCCUGUGCAGUCUUGAUUUGAUGACAUGGCAGACACCGAGUUGCUGAACCUGAUCCCAAUCUUUGAGGAGCUGAGCUGAGCAGAGCAGAGGACGUCUGCACUAGCCUUGGGCAGCUGCGGGCCCCUUAGCCUUCCCUGCUUCCAGGCAACAGCCAUCCCAAUAGGGGACUUUCCCACACUGUGCCUUUAUGAUUAGCGUGACAGAGUGGAAGCUGCAGCGCCUCACCACAUGGCCCAGAAACAGUGAAAAGUGAUUGUAAAGAGCUUUAGGACAACCUAGACGCCGAGUGGGCAAAUGCCAGACCAACGAUACCCAGAACUACCUGCCGCCAAGUUGUCAACAUGUGUGUGUGACUGAGAGAGAGAGUGAGUGUAUGUGUGUGCGUGUUGCCAUGAACUGUGGCCCCAGCAUAUAGUGUUUCACUGGGGAAGAAGCUGAAAGACCAAGACUUCCCAAGUGAGCUCGCCUCCUCUCCUGUCACCCUAGGAGCCACUGAGCUCUAUAAGGAUGAAGACUAUUGAAGGCUCCAUUGCCAAACCAUGGCCUUUCCUCAGUGUUGUAAGGCCUAUGCCAAGGAGAAAGGAAGGUAUGCCUUUGGGUGCUCGAGGCACACACCUUUCUGAAAUCCUCCAGCCAGCUGCUGCAGACAAAAGGUGACAUUUAUGGGAAGAUGAGGACUUGAUUCCAGACCAGCACCUCAGUGGCCAUCAGGGCUUGUGGCCCAGAGGCUAUGCUUGCGUCCAGCUGAGUGCCUGGGACGGGCCCUUUCUGUGUCUCCCCAAGGCUGGGUUGCUGAGCCUGCCUUCCUCACCACCUAGCCAUAGUCUCAAAACUGUGGGGAAGGAGGUUUUCUCCCUGCCUGGGAAGAGGACAGAUAACUGAUUUCCAUUCUUUUGAUUCUGUUUUAAAAUUCUCUU